rnacentral:rRNA from 1 species
UACGAAGGGGGCAAGCGUUGUUCGGAAUUACUGGGCGUAAAGGGCGCGUAGGCGGCUUAUCAAGUCAGGCGUGAAAUUCCCGGGCUCAACCUGGGGGCUGCGCUUGAUACUGAUUGGCUUGAAUGCGGGAGAGGAUAGUGGAAUUCCCAGUGUAGAGGUGAAAUUCGUAGAUAUUGGGAAGAACAUCGGUGGCGAAGGCGGCUAUCUGGCCCGUAAUUGACGCUGAGGCGCGAAAGCGUGGGGAGCAAACAGG